rnacentral:rRNA from 1 species
GUGUCAGAGCCGCGGUAAUACGGAGGGUGCGAGCGUUAAUCGGAAUGACUGGGCGUAAAGGGCAUGUAGGCGGAUGAUUAAGUUAGGUGUGAAAGCCUCGGGCUCAACCUGAGAAUAGCAUUUAAAACUGGUGAUCUGGAGUACUGUAGAGGGAGGUAGAAUUCCACGUGUAGCGGUGAAAUGCGUAGAGAUGUGGAGGAAUACCGGUGGCGAAGGCGGCCUUCUGGACAGAUACUGACGCUGAGAUGCGAAAGCGUGGGGAGCAAACAGGAUUAGAUACCCUGGUAGUCCACGCUGUAAACGAUGUCGAUUUGGAGUUUGUUGCCUAGAGUGAUGGGCUCCGAAGCUAACGCGAUAAAUCGACCGCCUGGGGAGUACGGCCGCAAGGUUAAAACUUAAAUAAAUUGACGG